rnacentral:tRNA from 1 species
GAGAGUAUAGCUCAGGGGUAGAGUGCCUGCUUAGCAUACGUGAUGUCCUGGGUUCAAUCCCCAGCGCCUUCA